GUCGUUCAGCGCAUAUGAAAAGUCUGCUAUUCACUAUAGUAUAACAAUGGGCUUUGUCGAGCGGCAGCGCAGGCGUUUGUGGGAACUUCAUUGUUUAUUUUUAAACGCAGACAGCGAGCGGCCGCACGGCGUGUGUUGUGUAAACACACGGCACGCGCCGCGCCACUGCCGCGCGCCGCCCGCUCCAGGUCGCAGACAUGCCAAGUCUCAUUUAGAUCACUUCUUUUAUGUUUGUGUUAAACUGUCACUCGUGUAAACAUCCGCAUUUAUAAUACUUGUACGAAUAUUGGUUUGAUCCAAUCGAAAUCAUGGUGACAGAGUGUCUUGUACAUAAUAAUCUGUCGAUCAAUAAAUUAGUCAAAGUAUUUAAGUCAUUAUACGGAAGUCAGAGGUCGGCGAAUGAAUUAGGAUGCCCGCAGCUUUAUGUGGACGUCCCCGAGGGGACACCGCGGUGGGGUUGAGUCGAGAAGUUCCACAGUUCCCUUAGUCCUUACUAAGUAAAUGAUUGCAUAAAGAACUUCUAAAUACACCAUAAUGAAUUAGACAUAAGCUAGAGCCCAGUUAACGCCACCAAGUGCUGGUGUCCCUCAAUGGUAAACCGGUCGAGAGACUGAGUCACCUCGGUGGGCGGAGGCCGCGCCACCGCUGGGUUGUACCAGCACGAAGUGAUACUAGUCUAUUAAAAGACACGCGACUCAACUGAAACAUUCCCGUCGCAGAUUUCAUCUUAACACCAAUCCUGGUGACUCACUCAAUAACAACUGAGCGAGUAGUCAUUAAUGUCGGCGUGCUAAAGUGUCAAUCCACCGGCAGUUGGAGAAGUACUUGACGCUAAUUACCAGGGUACCGAUUACUUCAACGUAAGUGCCACAUAACUAAACUCGAGAGAAGAGUGCUAUAACAUUCCAAAAAGUCAUUAUAUUAUAAUGGGGAUUUCAAGCAGUUAUAUGAAACGUUUAUUUUUUUAAGUAAUUAAAAGAUAGAGUAAGCAGGAACUAUUUCCUGACAAGUGAGUGACAGAGCGGCGCGGCGGUGGAUUCCACGAUGAACCAGUACAUCGUGGUUAUAAUAAAUUUCAUCGCCGUGUGAGGACGUCCAGCAGAUUUAAGUGGGGCAGGCGAGGAAGCGCGACAUCGCGUCGCCAAUCUAUAUUUUCUUAAUUAACUACUUCUAAGGCUAUUCUCAUCUAUUUAAUACAAUCGCAUCGUACUGAAGACAUCAAACUUGAUAAAAAUAUCUCAUAAAUCAGGUUUUAUUUAGAUUUUUGCUUUGCAACUAUUUUCUUUUAUACUUAGCAAAGCAUGUGUAGAGGCACGAUGUGUAGUGUAUGGGCAGGGGCACUGGGGUGGGUGCGGGGAUGAGAUCACGCGACGCGUGCACUGAUGUCAGCAUCCAUCGCGCCAGGAGUCAGCCUCGAGGGGUGCUGGCGCCACACGCGACCGCUACGUCACACGCAGCCGAUAGGGUUACAUUCACAGCUAACCACAACAAUAUUCUAUUCGCUAACGUUGUGGUUAUUUAGACAUUUAUUAAUUACAACAUCGAAUAAUAAAGAAACUAAAGCAAACAUAAUUUGGAACAAAAUAUUGGUCAGUGAACCAAAUUACUAGUGCGAAGGAAAAGUAGCCGAAACCUCAAGAUGAAAAUAAUGGCGGAAAUUAUUCCAUCCCACUUCCUUCAUGAAGAUACAGCCACGUUAUGCAAAGCAGCCCUACGGCCGGUGGGCGGCGGGGAGGGCGGGGAGGCAGCGUGACGUCACGCGCGGUACACGCUGCCAGCCUGUUUGAUCAGCACAGACGCUGAUCAAUUAGUCUGCUAUUAUUCAGGCCUUGUUUAUUUAACGCCUUCACUGAGCCGUCCUUCCUAAUUGGUUAUAUUUUUAUAUAAAUACACAGACGGAAAAUUGUACCCAAAGUUGCACAUUUUGAAUUUGUCUAUGUCAACUAAUGCAAGAAUUAACAUUUUUUUUUUGUUUUUAUUGUUUCUAAUAAACAAUUUUUGUCUUCUC